GAUGAACGCUGGCGGCGUGCCUCAAACAUGCAAGUCGAGCGAGGCUAUGAAUUACCGCAAGGUAAGGCAUAGCCUAGCGGCGAACGGGUGAGUAACACGUGGGUAACCUACCUGGAAGACAGGGAUAACGAUUCGAAAGGGUCGCUAAUACCUGAUAAUAUCCAUCUGCCGGAUGGCGGAGGGAAGAAAGGGGAAACCCGCUUUCAGAUGGGCCCGCGUCCCAUCAGCUAGUUGGUAAGGUAAAGGCUUACCAAGGCGACGACGGGUAGCCGGUCUGAGAGGAUGUACGGCCACACUGGGACUGAGAUACGGCCCAGACUCCUACGGGAGGCAGCAGUUGGGAAUCUUAGGCAAUGGACGAAAGUCUGACCUAGCGACGCCGCGUGAGGGAAGAAGGCCUUCGGUUGUAAACCUCUGUCAUGGGGGAAGAAGGAAGUGACGGUACCCAACGAGGAAGCCCUGCUAACUACGUG
rnacentral:rRNA from 1 species